CCAAUUUCUUUAAGAAAUUUACAUCUUCUUUAUCGGUCUCACUCUUCAAAAAUAAAAAAAAAUUCUAUUUCUUCCCUAACCCCUUUCUUACAAUUAAAGAACAAUCGAUGAUUUUUUUCAAAGUGGAUUUAUAUUUUAUUGUAAUUAGGGUCUAGAUUUUCGAAUUGAGUGAUGGUGUAACAUGGGAAAUCUGAGAUAUUUGAAGUGGAUUUUGUAAAUAUAGUUCAGCGAGAAGAAGCAAAUCAUUGAGAGAGUUUGAUGGAGAAAGGUAUCAGAAAUCUGCAUAUCUCUAUUUAUUUACCGAAGGUUAAGUUUCCGACGUUCCAUAUCUCUAUUUAUUUACAUAUGCUUAUAAUCUGUUUGACAAAAUUACGCUUAGAAUUUUCUUUCAGUUUUGGUUAGUUUAUUCUUGACGAGCUUGAUUUGUGUUUUCAGAUAGAGAUUGAAUCUUUAAUGAGAUUGUUUGAAAGGGAAUUAGAAGAUGAAUUGGAGAAUUUGGUCACCACUACUGAAAACGUUUUUUUAUUUUUCUGUAUUUAAGUUAAUACAUGAUAGUGUAUGACUGUGUGUGUUGGCGCAGUGACUUCUUAGUGCUAUUGUUUGUCAGUAAGUACAUAAGUUCGCAUAAUGUGAGCUCAAGCACUCUGUUAUUAACAUAGAUUUACAGUUAAAGGUGAGUUUCAUAGUCUAUUCAUGUUUAAAGAAAUCUGUUUUUGUAAAUGUGUGCAUGGGUAUCUUUUACUGUUUUCUAUCAGCUAAAUUAAGAUGUAAAUGAAUUUCAAACUCAGGUGGUCAAUCUGUGUGAAUUAGUAUGCUAGGAAGGCAUUUAGCUAAUGAAUUUUGAUCUAUUUAUGCUAGUUUUGAUUCUAAGUAGCUUCUACGAGGUUUUGUAUGGUUCGUACAUGAAAUUUUCAAAGUUUUUAGAUUCUGGGUUCUCUAAAGUUUUGAUUUUUAAUCGGGUUUAUUGAGAUUAAAUUCAUAUCUAUACUUAUGCUGAGUAUUUUGUAAGAUUGAUAAAUUUGGUUGAUUAUUAGGUUCAAUUACUAUAAAUCUGGGGCUUAUUUUUUAUGUAUGGAAAACAAUUCUUAGGUUCAAUUCACCUGUGUUUGAGAAUGGAAAACAAUUGCCAGCAGCAGAGAAGGCAAGGAUAAGGCAGUUAUUGAUUUAGUUAUUCUGCAUAACUUCAGGCAUUCUUAGGCUUGAUAUAAUUGCCAGCAAUUAUGAAGGCAAGGAUAAGGCAAAACUUGGGUUUUACUUUUGAAAUUGUUGAAUAUGACUAUUGAGUGUUAAAAGUUUCAGAAUCUGACUUGAGAGAUGUGGGUUGUUGGAUUUGUAAAAGAGAAAUGUUAAUUCAGUCAAUUCAUGUUAAAUUUUUUUCCGAUUUGCGUGUCCAAACAUUUUAUCAUGUGAAUCAAAGCAUUAAU